GCAGGUAGAGGUGCGGUCAAAAGAUCAGUAACCGCUGUGUUAAUCCGCCGACGGAUUACAGCGACGAAAGGCUUUUCCGCCGAAGAGCAUAAGAGUCGGAGCUUAUGUAUCUGGUCGUGUAUUUAACAGAUGCACGAUUGUCAUCGAGCGGUUUUGCUACAGGUGGAGAGCUAUCAG
rnacentral:ncRNA from 1 species